UACGGAGGGGGCUAGCGUUGUUCGGAAUUACUGGGCGUAAAGCGCACGUAGGCGGCUUUGUAAGUUAGAGGUGAAAGCCCGGGGCUCAACUCCGGAAUUGCCUUUAAGACUGCAUCGCUAGAAUUGUGGAGAGGUAAGUGGAAUUCCGAGUGUAGAGGUGAAAUUCGUAGAUAUUCGGAAGAACACCAGUGGCGAAGGCGACUUACUGGACACAUAUUGACGCUGAGGUGUGAAAGCGUGGGGAGCAAACAGG
rnacentral:rRNA from 1 species